GCUCGGGCGCUUUUCCUCCAGGCAGCCAAGCCGCUGCGGAGCGCUUUGGCUACCUGGGAGGGAAAGGGGAAGGAAAUUCUCUCUACCCCCCGGCUUUCUCUUCCCUUCCCCCCAUUUGGGAAACGAGUAGAGGUAUUGAAAUUUAAAGGAGAUAUUCAAAGGCCGCUGCCGAAGGAUGCUAAUAGGAGUUGGAAGACAGACGCAUUAGGAAGAGGGAAUUUCCCACGGAAAGCUUUGUAAUGAGCUAACGAGAUGCGUUCCCCCACCUCACCUUUGGAGGGGAGGGGAAAACAGAGCUUGAAUUACGCAUUUAAUUUCCCCUGCGUUCGUUCUCAAAUGGGAAAAGCUGAUGGGUCUCGAUAGGAUCGGGAUUUCUGGUUUCAAGGUUUAACGUUGUGCGCGCUCCCCUGCUUGCAGACCCCGCAGCUACUCCCACCGCACAUCCUCUCGCCGGUCUUCGCGUCUGCGUCUCCCUCCCGCUGUUGGCGCGUUGCUUCGUAAUCAUACUAAGAAAUCUAGAGGAAUACACUGAGCCAUUACAGCUUGUUUAUCCAGGUCUCCAACUCGCCCAAUACCUGGAUCAACACACACAGAAGAUCACAUUUCUCCACUUGGACUGAUUUAAGAAUUGAGGUUAGUUGAAUACUAUUAGCAAGACUUGCAAUUAUGGCAUGCAGGCACAUCCUCUUCUGUUCACUUGAGUUAUUUCUGUAUAGCAGUAGAUCAUGAGGACAUGGACAAAGGCAUUGCAUUUACUUUCUCCUUGAGCAAUUUCCACUGAUGUCUGUGAUGCUAAUACUGAAUUACAGAAUCCCGAGGAUUCUGUAUUGUUGUAGUUCUAAACCUUUUGCUGUGGAGGUUAGCCUGUGGAUAGGAAGAGUUAAACAAGAACAAGUUAUACAGUUUCUCUGGCUAGAAAAUGAACAAUACAUGCUUCCUGUCCUUAUGAUGUUCCCACAUGUGGAUGGUGAAGCAGGCACCAAGAUGACUAAGCUAGAACAACAAGAUUUGGUGAAUCCAGAGCUGAUGAAUAACAGUUCAUCUGGCAUGGAAGCAAAGGAGGAAGUUCCAGGGAAGGCAAAGUCCCAAAUUUGUGAACCUGUGUGCCGUGUGCUGGGGAAAAUUGAAAGCUUCCAAUAAACUAGAAUGAAUGUUGUGUGUAUGGGAAGCCUACGGUCUCAAUGAGAAGAAUAAUUAGUGAAUGUGUCCAUGUUGUCUAUAUUUUACAUGGGUCAGAAGGAAGGAUUGAGUGCAGAAGACAAAAUGGUAAUCUGAAGUGGGGUCAUUUUCAUAUUUAGGCUUAAACAAGAAUAUAGACAUUACUAUUAAAG
rnacentral:lncRNA from 1 species